GGAUAAGGGGAAUCUAACUAUUUAAUUAAAACAAAGCAUUGCGAUGGUCCCUGCUAAUGCUGACGCAAUGUGAUUUCUACCCAGUGCUCUAAAUGUCAAAGUGAAGAAAUUCAAACAAGCAUGGGUGUUAGUGUUGAAAUCGUAACGCCAACUACCGGCCUGGGAGAUGCAGUUCUCCUGAGAAGCAGGUCCGAAAUAAUAUAUAAUGGAUACAUGGGCGUGCC
rnacentral:ncRNA from 1 species